AUAAAGAAUUCUCAAAUAAUAAUUAUUAUCAUUAUUAUAUUCAAAAAGAGGAGAUAUAUAUAACCACUUAUUUAUUGUAAAUUUAUAUAUU
rnacentral:miRNA from 1 species